rnacentral:rRNA from 1 species
CAUGCAAGUCGAGCGAACCCUUCGGGGUUAGCGGCGGUACGGGUGAGUAACGCGUGCGGAACGUGCCCUUCUCUGCGGAAUAGUCCCGGGAAACUGGGUUUAAUACCGCAUACGCCCUUCGGGGCGAAAGAUUUAUCGGAGAAGGAUCGGCCCGCGUUAGAUUAGGUAGUUGGUGGGGUAAUGACCUACCAAGCCUACGAUCUAUAGCUGGUUUGAGAGGAUGAUCAGCCACACUGGGACUGAGACACGGCCCAGACUCCUACGGGAGGCAGCAGUGAGGAAUCUUGGACAAUGGGGGAACCCUGAUCCAGCCAUGCCGCGUGAGCGAUGAAGGCCUUAGGGUUGUAAAGCUCUUUCAGUCGUGAAGAUAAUGACGGUAGCGACAGAAGAAGUCCCGGCUAACUCCGUGCCAGCAGCCGCGGUAAUACGGAGGGGACUAGCGUUGUUCGGAAUUACUGGGCGUAAAGCGCGCGUAGGCGGACUAUUAAGUCAGGGGUGAAAUCCCGGGGCUCAACCCCGGAACUGCCCUUGAUACUGGUAGUCUGGAGUUCGAGAGAGGUGAGUGGAAUUCCGAGUGUAGAGGUGAAAUU